ACGCUGGCGGCGUGCCUAAUACAUGCAAGUCGAACGGUCUUUUCUAUGGAAGCUUGCUUCCACUGAAAAGAUAGUGGCGAACGGGUGAGUAACACGUGGGUAACCUGCCCAUAAGAGGGGGGAUAACAUCCGGAAACGGGUGCUAAUACCGCAUAGUUUUCUUGAUCGCAUGAUCGGGAAAGGAAAGACGGCCUUUGUGCUGUCGCUUAUGGAUGGACCCGCGGCGUAUUAGUUAGUUGGUGAGGUAACGGCUCACCAAGACGAUGAUACGUAGCCGACCUGAGAGGGUGAUCGGCCACAUUGGGACUGAGACACGGCCCAAACUCCUACGGGAGGCAGCAGUAGGGAAUCUUCCGCAAUGGACGAAAGUCUGACGGAGCAACGCCGCGUGAGCGAAAAGAAGGUUUUCGGAUCGUAAAACUCUGUUGUCAGAGAAGAACAAGUUGGAGAGUAACUGCUCCAGCCUUGACGGUAUCUGACCAGAAAGCCACGGCUAACUACGUGCCAGCCGCCGC
rnacentral:rRNA from 1 species